GGGCCUUUAGCUCAGCUGGCAGAGCAGGGGACUUUUAAUCCCAAGGUCGUGGGUUCGAACCCCACAGGGCCCACCA
rnacentral:tRNA from 2 species